AAAUUGAAGAGUUUGAUCAUGGCUCAGAUUGAACGCUGGCGGCAGGCCUAACACAUGCAAGUCGAACGGUAACAGGAAGCAGCUUGCUGCUUUGCUGACGAGUGGCGGACGGGUGAGUAAUGUCUGGGAAACUGCCUGAUGGAGGGGGAUAACUACUGGAAACGGUGGCUAAUACCGCAUAACGUCGCAAGACCAAAGAGGGGGACCUUCGGGCCUCUUGCCAUCAGAUGUGCCCAGAUGGGAUUAGCUUGUUGGU
rnacentral:rRNA from 6 species